UACGGAGGGUGCGAGCGUUGUCCGGAAUCACUGGGCGUAAAGGGCGCGUAGGCGGCCUGAUGAGUAGGGGGUGAAAUCCUGCGGCUUAACCGCAGGGCUGCCUUCUAAACUGUCAGGCUAGAGCACGGUAGAGGCAGAUGGAAUUCCCGGUGUAGCGGUGGAAUGCGUAGAGAUCGGGAAGAACAUCAGUGGCGAAGGCGGUCUGCUGGGCCGUUGCUGACGCUGAGGCGCGACAGCGUGGGGAGCGAACAGG
rnacentral:rRNA from 1 species